rnacentral:ribozyme from 1 species
ACCAUUUCGCCAUAGCUAACAGUAUCUGAAGACUCCUGAAGAUACCAUUCAACUCCCAUUCCGACAUGUCCACGUCGUACUGGGUGGUAACAUGGGCCUAAACCCAACCUUUUGGGCGGGUGACGGCUCAUGGCUAAGGAGGAAGGG